CCUACGGGCGGCAGCAGUGGGGAAUUUUCCGCAAUGGGCGAAAGCCUGACGGAGCAACGCAGCGUGAGGGAUGAAGGCCUCUGGGCUGUAAACCUCUUUUCUCAAGGAAGAAGAUCUGACGGUACUUGAGGAAUAAGCCACGGCUAAUUCCGUGCCAGCAGCCGCGGUAAUACGGGAGUGGCAAGCGUUAUCCGGGAUUAUUGGGCGUAAAGCGUCCGCAGGCGGCCUUGCAAGUCUGUUGUUAAGGCGUGGAGCUUAACUCCAUUUCAGCAAUGGAAACUACAAGGCUUGAGUGUGGUAGGGGCAGAGGGAAUUCCCGGUGUAGCGGUGAAAUGCGUAGAUAUCAGGAAGAACACCAGUGGCGAAGGCGCUCUGCUGGGCCAUAACUGACGCUCAUGGACGAAAGCCAGGGGAGCGAAAGGGAUUAGAUACCCGUGUAGUC
rnacentral:rRNA from 1 species